rnacentral:misc_RNA from 1 species
UUUCCUGUCAGUCCGAGCACUGCAUGAGGUCAUAGCAUUUCUCAACUCAGCUCACACUGACGCGGUGCGGGUGCUGCUGUGUGCGUGUGCGUGUGCGUGUGCCGCUGAAUGAUGCACUCAUCUGUGUUGGUCCAAACAGUUUGACUGGCGCAUGAGAAGAUACACAUGCAAAUCACCUUUCGGCUGACGUGCGUGGCACGGGCGCGUGUGCGGGCUGCUGUCGGCUGUCCAGCCGCGUGUGCGUGGUGGCCCUGAUGGAGAAACAAUUCUUGUGCGCGAGCGAGGCUAUGAGCGCACAUUUUGAGCCAAGAAAACAAAACUCAACAGGUCUGAGACGCUGCCACUGCGUGGCGGCGCCGCCGCCGGGCCGCACGCUGCGACGUGCGUGAACGGAGUGCAUUGAGUCCUACCGCUCCCCACCAGUGAGCGGGUGGGAGCAUCAACUCUCCUAGAUGCGGCGCGACGGGGUGCCGCGCCGCUUGCCUUCUCACCGCUACCCCCUGCCACUUCGCCGCUGCGCGAGGCGCAUGCGCGUGAUGAAUACUAUUCACAUAGUUUCCUGUCAGUCCGAGCACUGCAUGAGGUCAUAGCAUUUCUCAACUCAGCUCACACUGACGCGGUGCGGGUGCUGCUGUGUGCGUGUGCGUGUGCGUGUGCCGCUGAAUGAUGCACUCAUCUGUGUUGGUCCAAACAGUUUGACUGGCGCAUGAGAAGAUACACAUGCAAAUCACCUUUCGGCUGACGUGCGUGGCACGGGCGCGUGUGCGGGCUGCUGUCGGCUGUCCAGCCGCGUGUGCGUGGUGGCCCUGAUGGAGAAACAAUUCUUGUGCGCGAGCGAGGCUAUGAGCGCACAUUUUGAGCCAAGAAAACAAAACUCAACAGGUCUGAGACGCUGCCACUGCGUGGCGGCGCCGCCGCCGGGCCGCACGCUGCGACGUGCGUGAACGGAGUGCAUUGAGUCCUACCGCUCCCCACCAUUAAGCGGGUGGGAGCAUCAACUCUCCUAGAUGCGGCGCGACGGGGUGCCGCGCCGCUUGCCUUCUCACCGCUACCCCCUGCCACUUCGCCGCUGCGCGAGGCGCAUGCGCGUGAUGAAUACUAUUCACAUAGUUUCCUGUCAGUCCGAGCACUGCAUGAGGUCAUAGCAUUUCUCAACUCAGCUCACACUGACGCGGUGCGGGUGCUGCUGUGUGCGUGUGCGUGUGCGUGUGCCGCUGAAUGAUGCACUCAUCUGUGUUGGUCCAAACAGUUUGACUGGCGCAUGAGAAGAUACACAUGCAAAUCACCUUUCGGCUGACGUGCGUGGCACGGGCGCGUGUGCGGGCUGCUGUCGGCUGUCCAGCCGCGUGUGCGUGGUGGCCCUGAUGGAGAAACAAUUCUUGUGCGCGAGCGAGGCUAUGAGCGCACAUUUUGAGCCAAGAAAACAAAACUCAACAGGUCUGAGACGCUGCCACUGCGUGGCGGCGCCGCCGCCGGGCCGCACGCUGCGACGUGCGUGAACGGAGUGCAUUGAGUCCUACCGCUCCCCACCAGUAAGCGGGUGGGAGCAUCAACUCUCCUAGAUGCGGCGCGACGGGGUGCCGCGCCGCUUGCCUUCUCACCGCUACCCCCUGCCACUUCGCCGCUGCGCGAGGCGCAUGCGCGUGAUGAAUACUAUUCACAUAGUUUCCUGUCAGUCCGAGCACUGCAUGAGGUCAUAACAUUUCUCAACUCAGCUCACACUGACGCGGUGCUGUCGGGUGCGGAGGGCUUGCGUGCAUGCUUGUGGGUGAAGGGGCGAUAGCGAUGGCGCGGGCGGCAGCUUCAUCUUGACCUGUCUGGCACCUGUCUUUACACCUGUCAGUGACAGAGCACGCCCGAAAGUUCAAGAAAGACAAAGACAGCGAGAGCGAAGGCGCUUCGCGAGCUCUGCCGCGACGACACCGCGUUGUCACUGCCGUCGUGUGCGCGCGUGCGUCCGCGUGGGGUGUCUCUGCCGCACACCCUCUCUUCUAGGCCGCCGCACAACUCCCUUGGAAUGGUGGGUGCCCCAUCCCACGCAACUCCCUGUCCUGUUGUGCCAG